rnacentral:rRNA from 1 species
GAAUUCCUGGUGUAGCGGUGAAAUGCGCAGAUAUCAGGAGGAACACCGAUGGCGAAGGCAGGUCUCUGGGCAGUAACUGACGCUGAGGAGCGAAAGCAUGGGUAGCGAACAGGAUUAGAUACCCUGGUAGUCCAUGCCGUAAACGGUGGGCGCUAGGUGUGAGUCCCUUCCACGGGGUUCGUGCCGUAGCUAACGCAUUAAGCGCCCCGCCUGGGGAGUACGGCCGCAAGGCUAAAACUCAAAGGAGUUGACGGGGGCCCGCACAAGCGGCGGAGCAUGUGGAUUAAUUCGAUGCAACGCGAAGAACCUUACCUGGGCUUGACAUACACCAGAUCG